rnacentral:lncRNA from 1 species
CAGUCCGUGGGACCCCCAAGUUGGGGGGCUGGAGUGGGGCCGGCCGUGGCUGCCCCACACUUGGGGGGCUGGAGUGGGUCAGGCCGGCCGUGGGUCCCGCCGUGGGUCCCGCCGUGGGGCUCGCUGUGGGGCUGGCCGUGGGUCCCGUUGUGGGUCUCGCUGUGGGUCUCGCUGUGGGGCUCACUGUGGGUCCCUCUGUGGGUCUCGCUAUGGGUCCCGCCGUGGGUCCCGCUGUCGGUCUUGCCGUGGGUCUCGCUCUGGGUCACGCCGUGGGGCUGGCCGUGGGUCUCGCUGUGGGUCUCACCGUGGGUCCCGCUAUGGGGCUCGCCGUGGGUCCCACUGUGGGUCUUGGUGGGGGGCUCGCUGUGGGGCUGGCCAUGGGUCCCGCUGUGGGUCUCUCUGUGGGUCUUGUUAUGGGGCUGGCCAGAGGUCCCGCCGUGGGUCCCGCUAUGGGUCACGCCGUGGGUCUCGCCGUGGGUCCCGCUAUGGGUCCGGCCGCCCUCACCCCACAGCUCCCUCCGUGGGUCACCCCCAGCCCCACUUAUGGGGCAGCCGUGGGGCUGGGCGCCGGGAGGGAGCCGAGGGGCGAGGAGGGGGCCACGGGACCGCCACGGGACCACCACGGGACCGCCAUGGGGCCGCUGUGGGGCAGCCGUGGGGCAGCCGUGGGGCAGCCGUGGGGCAGCCGUGGGUCACUGUGGGGCGGGGGUCGGCGCCGUGGGGCUGAGCUCGGCCGAGAGCGCGUCGAAGGCCUGCAGCAUGGCGCCGCGCACCCGCUCCGUCAGCGCCGGGACGUCCGCGGGGCCCAGCCCCUGCGUGGGCAGCGGGGGCAGCACCUGGAUCACGCACUGCCCUAGAGAUAGG